rnacentral:rRNA from 1 species
AUUGAACGCUGGCGGCAGGCUUAACACAUGCAAGUCGAGCGGAGUGAUGGUGCUUGCACUAUCACUUAGCGGCGGACGGGUGAGUAAUGCUUAGGAAUCUGCCAUUUAGUGGGGGACAACAUUCCGAAAGGAAUGCUAAUACCGCAUACGUCCUACGGGAGAAAGCAGGGGAUCUUCGGACCUUGCGCUAAAUGAUGAGCCUAAGUCGGAUUAGCUAGUUGGUGGAGUAAAGGCCUACCAAGGCGACGAUCUGUAGCGGGUCUGAGAGGAUGAUCCGCCACACUGGGACUGAGAAACGGCCCAGACUCCUACGGGAGGCAGCAGUGGGGAAUAUUGGACAAUGGGCGGAAGCCUGAUCCAGCCAUGCCGCGUGUGUGAAGAAGGCCUUUUGGUUGUAAAGCACUUUAAGCGAGGAGGAGGCUACUAGUACUAAUACUACUGGAUAGUGGACGUUACUCGCAGAAUAAGCACCGGCUAACUCUGUGCCAGCCGCCGCCGUAAUAC